AGCUAGCCUAACUCUGCCAUUACUCUGAGGUCCGUUCGCAACAUUCGUCUGGCAGAGACGGGGGAACCACAUACGGGCUUCUUAGAAGUCCUUGGGGUGAAGCCGCUGAAGUUCGAGAACUUAGGUUCAGAAUCUAAAGCGGCCGGGUGACUCCCAUCCGAAUCCGACAGCUUACCUCGCAGGCUUUGGGAGAGGUCAA
rnacentral:sRNA from 2 species